CUUCAAAAGUUAGUUUCCCCCUAUGGAAAGGCUGAUAUAGCUUCAGUCCUUGAAGAGGCUUCUCUUUAUAUCAAACUUCUACAUCAACAUAUUCAGAAUUUGUUUCAAAUGCUGAGGAGAUCAUACAACAGUCUUGGAGCUAUUCACCCCCCACAGG